UUAGGUAGUAAUAGUUAUGUUCUUGAAACUUAAAAAAUUUGGCGGUAUUUUAGUCUAUUCAGAGGAACCUGUUUUAUAAUCGAUAAUCCACGAUGGAUCUUACUUAAAUUUGUUAUCAGUUUAUAUACCGUCGUUAUUAAAAUAUUUUAUAAGAAUUUUUAAUUUUUUUAAUUUUUAAAUAAAAAUUAUAUCAGAUCAAGGUGUAGCUUAUAUUUAAGUAAAAAUGGGUUACAAUAAAUUUAUUUAAAUGAAUAUAAAUUUGAAAUGUUUAUUGAAAGUGGAUUUGAUAGUAAAAUUAUAUAGAUUAUUAAU
rnacentral:rRNA from 1 species